rnacentral:misc_RNA from 1 species
CAUACUAGAAGCAGUCCAAAUUCAGUGUCUGAAUCUUUGAUUUUUACCAAGUAUGAGUGUGAGGAUAAACUUUUGUGCAAUCACAAGGUUGCUCCAUUUCAAUUUUGGAGGUCAUGGGUUCAAAAUAUUGAAGCAGCCUCCUUGCAAAGGGAGACAAAGGUUGUAUACAUCUAAUCCUAUCCUCCCAUGGGACACCCUUUAAUCAAUAAUGACAGCUGCUUUAGAUGUAUUCCAAUGCUGGAGGGCCUAUUUCAAUGUUCUGGACUUUAGAGGAUUCUGUCCAUUUUUUUCAUCAACUUGGUUGUCUGGGAGACUGAUUAAUUAGGCUGUCAAAAUAUCAG